rnacentral:rRNA from 1 species
AUGGGUUCAAGUCUUGGAAACAGCCUCUUACAGAAAUGUAGGGAAAGGCUGCGUACUAUAGACCCAAAGUGGUCGGACCCUUCCCUGGACCCUGCGCAAGCGGGAGCUACAUGCACCAGGUUGCCUUUAGAUGUAGACAGAAUUAUGCAGAUUCCUCUAAAUGAACACCAAAUGGAGGAUUUUGUGGCAUGGAACUAUACCAAACCUUACUUGUUUUCUGUUCGGUCUGCCUAUUAUAUUGAAUGGGAUCAUUCACACCGCCUCAUGUUGACAUGAGCAGAUGGGCAAGGGACAUCAAGCGGGAAUCCAGUUUGGGAAAUUUUAUGGAAAUUGAGAGUACCGAGUAAAGUGAAAAUAUUUGCAUGGAAGGCCUUGCAUGGGAUACUACCUGGAUUGUCAAUACUAGCGAAGAGGCACAUCCCUACUUGGGCUCAAUGCCCGGUUUGCUCAAGGGGUCCAGAAGACAUUAAGCCUAUGGUGUUCACAUGUUAUCGAGCUAAACAAGUAUGGCACUCUCUUGGCAUUCUGGACAUAAUUGAGGAAGCGGCAAGAUUGGAUAGGUCCGGAUCGGUUGCGCUGGAAGAUAUCUUGCGUCGACCAAACAAUAAAUCUCCAGUGCCUGGUCAUGUUGUGCUGAAGGAAUUAAUUGUGACUGGAUCCUGGUAUAUAUUAUGUAGCAUCACCAACUCCGUCAGCAUUCAGAAUUCAGGCUUUAACAAGUAG